AACGAACGCUGGCGGCAUGCCUAACACAUGCAAGUCGAACGAAGGCUUCGGCCUUAGUGGCGCACGGGUGCGUAACGCGUGGGAACCUGCCCCUCGGUUCGGAAUAACAGUUAGAAAUAGACUGCUAAUACCGGAUGAUGACUUCGGUCCAAAGAUUUAUCGCCGAGGGAUGGGCCCGCGUAGGAUUAGCUAGUUGGUGGGGUAAAGGCCUACCAAGGCGACGAUCCUUAGCUGGUCUGAGAGGAUGAUCAGCCACACUGGGACUGAGACACGGCCCAGACUCCUACGGGAGGCAGCAGUGGGGAAUAUUGGACAAUGGGCGAAAGCCUGAUCCAGCAAUGCCGCGUGAGUGAUGAAGGCCUUAGGGUUGUAAAGCUCUUUUACCAGGGAUGAUAAUGACAGUACCUGGAGAAUAAGCUCCGGCUAACUCCGUG
rnacentral:rRNA from 1 species